rnacentral:rRNA from 1 species
AGUGAACGCUGGCGGCGUGCUUAACACAUGCAAGUCGAACGAGAACGGAUUAUAGCUUGCUAUAAUUGUCAGCUAAGUGGCGCACGGGUGAGUAAUGUAUAGGUAAUAUGCCUCUUACUAAGGGAUAACAAAUGGAAACGUUUGCUAAUACCUUAUACUCCUUAUUAACAGAAGUUAAUAAGGGAAAGAUUUAUUGGUAAGAGAUUAGCCUGUAUUGUAUCAGUUAGUUGGUGGGGUAAUGGCUUACCAAGACAAUGACACAUAACUGGUUUGAGAGGAUGAUCAGUCACACUGGAACUGAGACACGGUCCAGACUCCUACGGGAGGCAGCAGUGGGGAAUAUUGCACAAUGGACGAAAGUCUGAUGCAGCAACGCCGCGUGGAGGAUGACACAUUUCGGUGCGUAAACUCCUUUUAUAUGAGAAGAUAAUGACGGUAUUAUAUGAAUAAGCACCGGCUAACUCCGUGCCAGCAGCCGCAGUAACAC